rnacentral:lncRNA from 1 species
UUUUGGUAUCAAUUUAUCAUAUUCAUUAUAUUUUUUAAACUUAUUCUUAUAAUAUAUGGGUUUUCUUGUUUCUGUUGUUUUAGGUAUUAUAUUUUCAUUUUCUUUUUUAUCAAGAGUAUUUAUUUCUGUGUGGGUAUUUUCUAAGUUUUCCUCAUUAAUUUCUUUUUGUUCUUCAUUGAUUUCUAAAUUUUUUGUAUUUGUUAAUAUUUCUGUAUAUGUUUCACUAUCUUCGGACUCAUAAUUAUCUGUCUCUUCAAUAUCUAUAUUAUUUAUUUCUAAUUCUUCAUUUUUUAUUUCUAAUUUUUCCUUAAAUUGAUUUAUCUCGUUUAGUAAUUUCUGUUCUCUAUC